GAAAAGGAGAGAAAAGUUUCCUGGAGUCUUCAUUAGUUGACUUCCCCGUCCAGAGCUUCUCUCAGCCGGCCGAACUCGCCCCCAAUAAAGGAAUGAGGAGGGUCUUUAUUUUUUUAAGGUCUCAUACAAUUCAGUGUUUACAAGACCAGAAAUACCACUGCCUCGUCCUUCUGGAGAGAAAGGCUGAGAGAGAGGACCGCCGCCUUCCUUAUAAGCUCAUUGGAGUCUGAGCCAGCCCUGACCUGGUAGAAAAAGCAACCGUGAAGCGGGGCAGAGAGAGCUGGAAGAAGAAAGAGAGCAUCAGACUGAGAUGAAAGGGAACCACUCAAAGAAAUGCAGGGAAAUGAGCGACGCGGCAGGUCCCGAACAAACGUUACAGAGGGCAAGACAGGCACUCACUCACGGACAGAGGUUUAUGUAUUUUUAAUUUUUAAAUCUGAUUUUGGGCUAAACAAGGAAAAGGGAAAAUUCAGGGGAGGCGGGGCGGGGGGAGCGGUUAUCUCGGUUCUUGCUCGCAGCAUUAACACCUCAGGAGGAAAGAAGCUAUCUAAACACGGGUGGGCGCGGGGCAGCUCCGGGGAAACAGCUUUGCGCUGCUCACACACUGCAGGGUUGGGCCCUGGAAGCCCCCCCUCGCGGCCGCGGAGCUUCCUUGCUCCUCUUAUCAUCUCCAUCUUUAUGACGAGGCUUGUUAACAAGACCAGCGAGCUGGCCACGCACAUCUAUCUCAGCCGCGUGAGCUCAGCCGCUCACCCGAGCCCUGGCCGGCGGGGGGACUGGGAGGCGCUAAUUAAUUGAUUCCUUUGGACUGUAAAAUAUGGCCACGUCUACACGGAACCGUGGACUCAUAAACAAUAUCUCUGCUGGAUGUGACAACACUGUCUUUCAAAGAAUUUUUCCAUAGAACCCUGGAUGGGACUGCAGGAGGGACCAGGACAGAUGAAGAAUGGGACUGGAGUCUCAGAGCCUUCAGAGCCUUCUCCAUCGAACCUGGGCACUGAGGGCUCCAGGAGCAGUCCAGGCUCCCGCGUCAUCCACCAGCUGCCGACCAGCCUUUGUCUCCGGGCUUCCCCUAGAGCAGCAGCCGCGAAGCAGAGCGCGGGCCUGCAGCGGCCCUGGCAUAGCCACUAGCUCCUCCCCCAGGUCAUGGCUAUAAGAAGUGAACAUCCUCAUGCUUCUCCUGCACUCUCUCAGGCCUUUGUAUGAGUACUCCCAAGGCUUAGUCUAAUUCCUGCCUGUACCCACUAGGUCUGCAAAGCAGCUGAUGAUUAGGAAUAAAGGGAAAGUGAGAUGUGUUCUAAAUUUGCUAGUAUAUCUGAUUGCAAGAAUAAAG